CUGGCUCAGAUUGAACGCUGGCGGCGUGCUUAACACAUGCAAGUCGAACGCGAAAGGGACUUCGGUCCUGAGUAAAGUGGCGCACGGGUGAGUAACGCGUGGAUAAUCUGCCCUUAUGAUCGGGAUAACAGUUGGAAACGGCUGCUAAUACCGGAUACGCUCAAAAUGAACUUUUUGAGGAAAGAUGGCCUCUGCUUGCAUGCUAUCACGUAAGGAUGAGUCCGCGUCCCAUUAGCUUGUUGGCGGGGUAACGGCCCACCAAGGCAACGAUGGGUAGCCGAUUUGAGAGGAUGAUCGGCCACACUGGAACUGAAACACGGUCCAGACUCCUACGGGAGGCAGCAGUGGGGAAUAUUGCGCAAUGGGCGAAAGCCUGACGCAGCGACGCCGCGUGAGGGAUGAAGGUUUUCGGAUCGUAAACCUCUGUCAGAAGGGAAGAAACUACGUUGUGCUAAUCAGCAGCGUACUGACGGUACCUUCAAAGGAAGCACCGGCUAACUCCGUGCCAGCCGCCGC
rnacentral:rRNA from 1 species